ACCUAACCUUUGAGGAAAGUGAUGAAAAAAUCACCUCCUCAUUGUCAAAGUUUUCUUAGGUGAAAGUGAAAUUCGUUUUCAUUGUGUUUGUAAAAUAAUUCGUGCAAUCAAUUGUCAAUUUGAACAAAUUCUGAAGGGUGGCUCAGUGGCCUAUCUCUGCCUCCCAGAGAGAGGAAAGAGUAAUAUUUGCUUUGAAAUUCCGUGAAAAUGCAAUACCAUUUUGGUUAUCAAAGGUCUACAUUAAUGAACAUCGCUAUAAGUUUGACAGCAAAGGUGAAAUAUCGUCAUAUUUCGGUACCGAAAGAACAAACAUAGCAAACAGUGUUCCUGUAGUUGCCUGCAUCUCGAAACCAAAUGAUGAUGUAUCAUUCAAUAUCAUUCGUAAAGUUAAUAUGAGAAUUGACUCACAGCAGUAUGUUGCUUUUCUUGAAGAGGUAAUGGCAUCAUACCCAAAGGUGGAUCCCAUAUCAAUCGUUCACAAUAAAUAUCCUGUUCAUCAUAGUCUGAAAGUGAAGAAAUGGCUUGGUGACAAUAUAAAAAUGUCAGUUUUUUAUAGCUGGCCAACAGCGA